rnacentral:rRNA from 1 species
CCAAUAGCGUAUAUUAAAGUUGUUGCAGUUAAAAAGCUCGUAGUUGAAUUUCGGGGUCAGUAGUUUGGUCGUGCCACUGGUAUGUACUGGGCUCACUGAUUCCUCCUUCCUGAUGAACUGUAAUGCCAUUAAUUUGGUGUUGCAGGGAAACUGGACUGUUACUUUGAAAAAAUUAGAGUGUUUAAAGCAAGCUAACGCUUGGAUACAUUAGCAUGGAAUAAUGAAAUAGGACGUUCGAUCCUACUUUGUUGGUUUCUAGGAUUGACGUAAUGAUUAAUAGGGAUAGUUGGGGGCAUUAGUAUUCAAUUGUCAGAGGUGAAAUUCUUGGAUUUAUUGAAGACUAACUACUGCGAAAGCAUUUGCCAAGGAUGUUUUCAUUAAUCAAGAACGAAAGUUAGGGGAUCGAAGACGAUCAGAUACCGUCGUAGUCUUAACCAUAAACUAUGCCGACUAGGGAUCGGAUGAUGUUAAUUUUUUAAUGACUCAUUCGGCGCCUUACG